rnacentral:rRNA from 1 species
AGUCCUGAGUCCCGCAUGCCGCGUGUGUGAAGAAGGCCUUCGGGUUGUAAAGCUCUUUUGUUGGGAAGAAAGGCUUUUUCCUAGUACGUUGUUGUCUUGACGGUACCGACAGAGUAAGCCCCGGCUAACUCCGUGCCCGCAGCCGCGGAAAUCAA